rnacentral:rRNA from 1 species
AGCAAUAUGUCAGCGGCAGACGGGUGAGUAACGCGUGGGAAUCUACCCAACCCUAUGGAAUAACGCAUGGAAACGUGUGCUAAUACCAUAUACGCCCCCCUUUAAAAUUCCAGGAAGAAUAAAAUGCCUUGGCAUUUUAUGGGGGGGAAAGAUUUAUCGGGGAUGGAUGAGCCCGCGUUGGAUUAGCUAGUUGGUGGGGUAAAGGCCUACCAAGGCGACGAUCCAUGGCUGGUCUGAGAGGAUGAUCAGCCACAUUGGGACUGAGACACGGCCCAAACUCCUACGGGAGGCAGCAGUGGGGAAUAUUGGACAAUGGGCGCAAGCCUGAUCCAGCCAUGCCGCGUGAGUGAUGAAGGCCCUAGGGUUGUAAAGCUCUUUCACCGGAGAAGAUAAUGACGGUAUCCGGAGAAGAAGCCCCGGCUAACUUCGUGCCAGCCGCCGCCGUAA